rnacentral:rRNA from 1 species
UGCGUAGGCGGCCUGGUAAGUCUGGCGUGAAAGCCCAGGGCUCAGCCCUGGAAGUGCGCUAGAAACUGCGAGGCUCGAGUGCCGGAGGGGAGAGUGGAAUUCCUGGUGUAGCGGUGAAAUGCGUAGAUAUCAGGAGGAAUACCGGUGGCGAAAGCGACUCUCUGGACGGCAACUGACGCUGAGGCACGAAAGCGUGGGGAGCAAACA